GACGAACGCUGGCGGCGUGCUUAACACAUGCAAUUCUAACGGAAAGGCCCUGCUUUUGUGGGGUGCUCGAGUGGCGAACGGGUGAGUAACACGUGAGUAACCUGCCCUUGACUUUGGGAUAACUUCAGGAAACUGUGGCUAAUACCGGAUAGGAGCUCCUGCUGCAUGGUGGGGGUUGGAAAGUUUCGGCGGUUGGGGAUGGACUCGCGGCUUAUCAGCUUGUUGGUGGGGUAGUGGCUUACCAAGGCUUUGACGGGUAGCCGGCCUGAGAGGGGGACCGGCCACAGUAGGACUGAGAUACGGCACAGACACAUACGGGAAGAAGCAGUGGGGGAUAUCGCACAAUGGGCAGAAGACUGAUGCAGCAACGACACGUGCAGGAUGAAGGACUUCGAGUUGUAAACCGCUUUCGCCUGUGACGAAGCAUGAGUGACGGUAAUGGGUAAAGAAGCAACGGCUAACUACGUG
rnacentral:rRNA from 1 species